rnacentral:tRNA from 1 species
AAGCCCCGAGGUGUUUGGCACAUAAGAUUGCAAAUCUUAAGGAGCACAUUGACGUUUGCCGGGGCUUUCC